GUGUUGUAUGAAAGGAGAGAAUGUUAGCACUCUCCGUGAUAAGGAUGGAAUGGGUUCUAGUGACCUUACAACACACAAAUGGUUAAGGCAUUGCAUUCUACUCAGUGGCAUCUAACCAUAUUUU